CUCAAUUUGAGAUGUUCUGGCACUUUGUCCAUUGGACCAAAGGAAAGGGAAUUGCAUCUAAUUGCAUCCCAUUCCAAAUGGGAUGGUGCUUAAGGAGGGAGUAGGCAAAGGAAGUUCUGACAGCAAAAGACAGAGGUGUAAAUAGGAAGAACAGUAAGGCAAAGUGACCUGUUACUACCCCGGAUAACAAAGGGACAAGGAAUGGAAGAUGCAGGAAUAGUGCUAUCAAGGUUAAUAUAAACAGGGUAAUGCCUGUUUAUAUUAAAUAUACAGAUAGCACGGUUAAAACCAAACGAGCAGCUCUAGAAAUCUCCAUGAUGCUGAAAUGAGAGGCACUGUGGUGCAGAAGAGGCUGCUGAGCAGGCUGCAUUAUGCUCCUCUUGGUGCUAUAAUCUCUGCUGGAUGCUCUGCAGAUGAAGGAAUGGGUACACAGCCACUACUUCAGGUGUCCCCCCAGAAGACAGUACUAAAUAUAUGGGCCAAAGAGGGAGUGCUAAACCCACCAGGCAAGUGUACUGAGUCCAGACAUACCAUGAGGGCCUUCUGCAGCACAGCAAGGCUGAGGGGGCAAGGGGACCACCCAGGAGCUGGGAUAACUGUCAGAGUGGGACUGGCAGAGAUCUCACUGUCAGUGCAAAGAACUGAGGGGGUAUUUAUCGAACGCUUUGCAUAAGCAGCUUUGGAGCAGAACAACACAGGGGGAACAUGGACAGAAAACACCGCUGUCUAACGUUCAGCACCAGUGGGUUCUCCCGGCCCCAGCCCCCCCGCCAGCAGCCACCUCCUCCUGCUGCAGUGCCACCAUUCUUCUGAGACAUCAAUGGGGGAACUGGAGGCCUCAACCCUCUGCCCCAGUGCUGCGCACAGAGACAAAGGUGGCAGUGAGGGUGAGGGAGGGGGAUCUGCUUCUGGCUUCACUCCCAGCUGCAGAAAAAGUGUUUUGUCUAUUGUAUAGACAAUGCACCACAAGUCCCGAGGUGGAGCCAAACACAAACUCAUAAAGCAACUUCUGGUCAAAUUACAAUAAAAUGUGUUAAACUGCUGCUCA
rnacentral:lncRNA from 1 species